rnacentral:rRNA from 1 species
UACGUAGGGUGCAAGCGUUAAUCGGAAUUACUGGGCGUAAAGCGUGCGCAGGCGGUUAUGUAAGACAGGGGUUAAAUCCCAGGGCUUAACCUUGGAACUGCAUUUGUGACUGCAUAGCUAGAGUACGGUAGAGGGGGAUGGAAUUCCGCGUGUAGCAGUGAAAUGCGUAGAUAUGCGGAGGAACACCGAUGGCGAAGGCAAUCCCCUGGACCUGUACUGACGCUCAUGCACGAAAGCGUGGGGAGCAAACAGG